rnacentral:rRNA from 1 species
AUUGAACGCUGGCGGCAUGCCUAACACAUGCAAGUCGAACGGUAACAUGAAGCAGCUUGCUGCUAUGCUAACGAGUGGCUGACGGGUGAGUAAUGGUUGGGCAACUGCCUGAUGGAGGGGGAUGACGACUGGAAACGGUAGCUAAUACCGCAUAACGUCGCAAGACCACAGUUGGGGACCUUUCGGCCUCAUGCCAUCGGAUCUGCCCAGAUGGGAUUAGCUAGUUGGUGGGGUAACGGCUCACUUAGGCGACGAUACCUAGCUGGUCUGCAAGGAUGACCAGCUACACUGGAACUGAGACACGCUCCAGACUCCUACGGACGGCAGCAGUGGGGAAUAUUGCACAAGGGGCGGAAGCCUGAUGCAGCCAGGCCGCGUGUAUGACGAGGGCCUUCGGGUUGUAAAGUACGUUCAACGGGGAGGAAGGGAGUAAAGCUAAUACCUUUGCUCAUUGACGUUACCCGAAGAAGAAGCACCGGCUAACUCCGUG